ACGAUCACCGAAGUUAAGCAACGUCGUGCUUGGUCAGUAUCUAGAUGGGUGACCACCUGGGAAUACCAGGUGCUGUAA